rnacentral:rRNA from 1 species
CUACGGGAGGCUCCAGUGGGGAAUAUUGGACAAUGGGCGCAAGCCUGAUCCAGCAACGCCGCGUGAGUGAAGACGGCCUUAGGGUUGUAAAACUCUUUCGCUAGGGAAGAUAAUGACUGUACCUAGUAAAGAAGUCCCGGCUAACUCCGUGCCAGCAGCCGCGGUAAUACGGAGGGGACUAGCGUUGUUCGGAAUUACUGGGCGUAAAGAGUUCGUAGGCGGACUGACAAGUUAGAGGUGAAAUCCCAGGCUCAACCCUGGAACUGCCUUUAAAACUGUCAGUCUAGAGACCGGAAGAGGUUAGGGGAAUACCUAGUGUAGAGGUGAAAUUCGUAGAUAUUAGGUGGAACACCAGUGGCGAAGGCGCCUAACUGGUCCGGUACUGACGCUGAGGAACGAAAGCGUGGGGAGCAAACAGGAUUAGAUACCCCCGUAGUC